rnacentral:rRNA from 1 species
GGGCCCGCACAAGCGGUGGAGCAUGUGGUUUAAUUCGAUGAUACGCGAGGAACCUUACCAGGGCUUAAAUGUAGUAUGACCGGUCUAGAAAUAGGCCUUCCCUUCGGGGCAGAUUACAAGGUGCUGCAUGGUUGUCGUCAGCUCGUGCCGUGAGGUGUUAGGUUAAGUCCUGCAACGAGCGCAACCCCUAUUCUUAGUUGCCAGCGGUUCGGCCGGGGACUCUAAGAAGACUGCCAGCGCAAGCUGAGAGGAAGGUGGGGAUGACGUCAAAUCAUCACGGCCCUUACGUCCUGGGCUACACACGUGCUACAAUGGUAUCUACAACAGGAAGCAAGACUGCGAGGUCAAGCA